CCCUUAGAUGUCCUGGGCUGCACGCGCGCUACACUGAUGUGUCCAAUAAGCACCUAACCUCUUCCGAAAGGAACGGGUAACCUUUGCAAAGCACAUCGUGAUGGGGAUAGAUUAUUGCAAUUAUUAGUCUUGAACGAGGAAUUCCUAGUAAGCACAAGUCAUCAGCUUGUGUUGAUUACGUCCCUGCCCUUUGUACACACCGCCCGUCGCUCCUACCGAUUGAAUGUUCCGGUGAGCUCUUCGGACUGCGCGGUCUGCAGUUUCUGCGUUCCGUGCGGAAAGUUGCGCAAACCUUAACAUUUAGAGGAAGGAGAAGUCGUAACA
rnacentral:rRNA from 1 species